rnacentral:rRNA from 2 species
GAACGCUGGCGGCAGGCUUAACACAUGCAAGUUGAACGCUCUUCUUCGGAAGAGAGUGGCAGACGGGUGAGUAACGCGUGGGAAACUACCUAGUAGUACGGAAUAAUCCAUGGAAACGUGGCCUAAUACCGUAUACGCCCUUCGGGGGAAAGAUUUAUCGCUAUUAGAUGUGCCCGCGUCAGAUUAGCUUGUUGGUGAGGUAAAGGCUCACCAAGGCUACGAUCUGUAGCUGGUCUGAGAGGAUGAUCAGCCACACUGGGACUGAGACACGGCCCAGACUCCUACGGGAGGCAGCAGUGGGGAAUCUUGGACAAUGGGCGAAAGCCUGAUCCAGCCAUGCCGCGUGAAUGACGAAGGCCUUAGGGUCGUAAAAUUCUUUCGCUAGGGAAGA